rnacentral:rRNA from 1 species
CAGCAGCCGCGGUAAUACCGGCGGCCCGAGUGGCGGUCACUAUUAUUGGGCUUAAAGCGUCCGUAGCCGGGUUGGGAAGUCCUCCGGGAAAUCUGGCCGCUUAACGGUCAGAAUGCCGGAGGAUACUCCCAGCCUAGGGAGCGGGGGAGGCCGAGGGUAUUCCCGGAGUAGGGGGGAAAUCCUAUAAUCCCGGGAGGACCACCUGUGGCGAAGGCGCUCGGCUGGAACGCGUCCGACGGUGAGGGACGAAGGCCAGGGGAGCAAACCGGAUUAGAUACCCGGGUAGUCCUGGCUGUAAACGAUGCGGACUUUGUGUCGGACAAGCUAUGAGCUUGUCCGGUGCCGGAGGGAAACCGUUAAGUCCGCCGCCUGGGGAGUACGGCCGCAAGGCUGAAACUUAAAGGAAUUGGCGGG